CAAGAUAGCCUAUUCUACUGAAUAUACCUAUAACCGACUUCCGAGUUACCUUACCGCGCUGCUCCCGCGACGGCUGUACCUCACCCGGCCCUCUGCAGAUGUAUAUGGGGCAGUCCUGCCGGAAGGUAUACAAAACUCUGUAUUACUAGUGUAUCUGUCUGAAUGUAUAAAACAAAUAUUA
rnacentral:misc_RNA from 1 species